UACGAAGGGGGCUAGCGUUGCUCGGAAUCACUGGGCGUAAAGGGUGCGUAGGCGGGUCUUUAAGUCAGGGGUGAAAUCCUGGAGCUCAACUCCAGAACUGCCUUUGAUACUGAAGAUCUUGAGUUCGGGAGAGGUGAGUGGAACUGCGAGUGUAGAGGCGAAAUUCGUAGAUAUUCGGAAGAACACCAGUGGCGAAGGCGACUCGCUGGACAGACAUUGACGCUGAGGUGCGAAAGCGUGGGGAGCAAACAGG
rnacentral:rRNA from 1 species